rnacentral:rRNA from 1 species
GAUGAACGCUGGCGGCGUGCCUAAUACAUGCAAGUCGAGCGAACAGACGAGGAGCUUGCUCCUCUGACGUUAGCGGCGGACGUGUGAGUAACACGUGGAUAACCUACCUAUAAGACUGGGAUAACUUCGGGAAACCGGAGCUAAUACCGGAUAACAUGUUGAACCGCAUGGUUCAACAGUGAAAGACGGUCUUGCUGUCACUUAUAGAUGGAUCCGCGCCGCAUUAGCUAGUUGGUAAGGUAACGGCUUACCAAGGCAACGAUGCGUAGCCGACCUGAGAGGGGGAUCGGCCACACUGGAACUGAGACACGGUCCAGACUCCUACGGGAGGCAGCAGUAGGGAUUCUUCCGCAAUGGGCGAAAGCCUGACGGAGCAACGCCGCGUGAGUGAAGAAGGUCUUCGGAUCGUAAAACUCUGUUAUUAGGGAAGAACAAAUGUGUAAGUAACUAUGCACGUCUUGACGGUACCUAAUCAGAAAGCCACGGCUAACUACGUG